rnacentral:rRNA from 1 species
GACGAACGCUGGCGGCGUGCUUAACACAUGCAAGUCGAACGGAAAGGCCCCUUUGGGGGUACUCGAGUGGCGAACGGGUGAGUAACACGUGAGUAACCUGCCCUUGACUUCGGGAUAACUUCAGGAAACUGGGGCUAAUACCGGAUAGGAAUCCUUGCUGCAUGGUGGGGGUUGGAAAGCUUCGGCGGUUUUGGAUGGACUCGCGGCUUAUCAGCUUGUUGGUGGGGUAGUGGCUUACCAAGGCUUUGACGGGUAGCCGGCCUGCGAGGGCGACCGGCCACAUUGGGACUGAGAGACGGCCCAGACUCCUACGGGAGGCAGCAGUGGGGAAUAUUGCACAAGGGGCGGAAGCCUGAUGCAGCAACGCCGCGGGCGGGAUGACGGCCUUCGGGUUGUAAACCGCUUUCAGCAGGGGCGAAGCUUGUGGUGACGGUACCUGCAGAAGAAGCACCGGCUAACUACGUG